UACGUAGGGUGCAAGCGUUGUCCGGAAUUAUUGGGCGUAAAGAGCUCGUAGGCGGUUUGUCGCGUCUGCCGUGAAAGUCCGGGGCUCAACUCCGGAUCUGCGGUGGGUACGGGCAGACUAGAGUGAUGUAGGGGAGACUGGAAUUCCUGGUGUAGCGGUGAAAUGCGCAGAUAUCAAGAGGAACACCGAUGGCGAAGGCAGGUCUCUGGGCAUUAACUGACGCUGAGGAGCGAAAGCAUGGGGAGCGAACAGG
rnacentral:rRNA from 1 species